AGGGACUCUGACCCAGGGUUCUCAAACUGGGAAUCGUGACCCCUCAGAAGGUCGCAAGAUUAUUACAUGUGAGGUCAUGAGCUGUCAGCCUCCACCCCCAAACCUACUCACUUCCAGCAUUUAUAAUAGUGUUAAAUGUAAAAAAGAGUUUCUAAUUUAUAAGGGCGGGUCAAACUCAGAGGCUGGCUGUGUGAAAGAGGUCACCAAUACAAAAGUUUGAGAACAUUGUUCUAGUCACUCCAUCUUGUUAUGGCUUUAUGUAUUAAACUGAAAAGGCCUCUAUUACCAGAAAUAUUUUCUCCAUAUAGAAUACUUAUAGACGGAUCAAGUAUCACCAGUCAACUUUCUUUGCUGAAUGGAGUUUUA